AGAUUGAACUGAAGAGUUUGAUCCUGGCUCAGAUUGAACGCUGGCGGGAUGCUUUACACAUGCAAGUCGGACGGCAGCACGGGCUUCGGCUGGUGGCGAGUGGCGAACGGGUGAGUAAUGUAUCGGAACGUGCCCAGUAGCGGGGAUAACUACGCGAAAGCGUGGCUAAUACCGCAUACGCCCUACGGGGGAAAGCGGGGGACCUUCGGGCCUCGCACUAUUGGAGCGGCCGAUAUCGGAUUAGCUAGUUGGUGGGGUAACGGCCUACCAAGGCGACGAUCCGUAGCUGGUUUGAGAGGACGACCAGCCACACUGGGACUGAGACACGGCCCAGACUCCUACGGGAGGCAGCAGUGGGGAAUUUUGGACAAUGGGGGCAACCCUGAUCCAGCCAUCCCGCGUGUGCGAUGAAGGCCUUCGGGUUGUAAAGCACUUUUGGCAGGAAAGAAACGGCACGGGCUAAUAUCCUGUGCAACUGACGGUACCUGCAGAAUAAGCACCGGCUAACUACGUGCCAGCAGCCGCGGUAAUACGUAGGGUGCAAGCGUUAAUCGGAAUUACUGGGCGUAAAGCGUGCGCAGGCGGUUCGGAAAGAAAGAUGUGAAAUCCCAGGGCUUAACCUUGGAACUGCAUUUUUAACUACCGGGCUAGAGUGUGUCAGAGGGAGGUGGAAUUCCGCGUGUAGCAGUGAAAUGCGUAGAUAUGCGGAGGAACACCGAUGGCGAAGGCAGCCUCCUGGGAUAACACUGACGCUCAUGCACGAAAGUGUGGGGAGCAAACAGGAUUAGAUACCCUGGUAGUCCACGCCCUAAACGAUGUCAACUAGCUGUUGGGGCCUUCGGGCCUUGGUAGCGCAGCUAACGCGUGAAGUUGACCGCCUGGGGAGUACGGUCGCAAGAUUAAAACUCAAAGGAAUUGACGGGGACCCGCACAAGCGGUGGAUGAUGUGGAUUAAUUCGAUGCAACGCGAAAAACCUUACCUACCCUUGACAUGUCUGGAAUCCCGAAGAGAUUUGGGAGUGCUCGCAAGAGAACCGGAACACAGGUGCUGCAUGGCUGUCGUCAGCUCGUGUCGUGAGAUGUUGGGUUAAGUCCCGCAACGAGCGCAACCCUUGUCAUUAGUUGCUACGAAAGGGCACUCUAAUGAGACUGCCGGUGACAAACCGGAGGAAGGUGGGGAUGACGUCAAGUCCUCAUGGCCCUUAUGGGUAGGGCUUCACACGUCAUACAAUGGUCGGGACAGAGGGUUGCCAACCCGCGAGGGGAGCCAAUCCCAGAAACCCGGUCGUAGUCCGGAUCGCAGUCUGCAACUCGACUGCGUGAAGUCGGAAUCGCUAGUAAUCGCGGAUCAGCAUGUCGCGGUGAAUACGUUCCCGGGUCUUGUACACACCGCCCGUCACACCAUGGGAGUGGGUUUUACCAGAAGUAGUUAGCCUAACCGCAAGGGGGCGAUUACCACGGUAGGAUUCAUGACUGGGGUGAAGUCGUAACAAGGUAGCCGUAUCGGAAGGUGCGGCUGGAUCACCUCCUUU
rnacentral:rRNA from 1 species